GAGGUUCUGGCUCAGUGGUAGAGCGCUCGCCUAGCCCGUGAGAGGCCUUGGGUUCAAUCCUCAGCACCACA
rnacentral:tRNA from 1 species